UCCUGGAAGAUAGGCUCAGUGGUAGAGCACAUGCUUUGAAUGCAGAAGGGUCUGGGUUCAAUCCUGGGGAAAGAUCCAGGCG